rnacentral:misc_RNA from 1 species
GAUGAAGAACGCAGCGAAAUGCGAUAAGUAAUGUGAAUUGCAGAAUUCAGUGAAUCAUCGAAUCUUUGAACGCACAUUGCGCCCUCUGGUAUUCCGGGGGGCAUGCCUGUUCGAGCGUCAUUAUAACCACUCAGGCUCUCGCUUGGUAUUGGGGUUCGCGGUUUCGCGGCCCCUAAAAUCAGUGGCGGUGCCUGUCGGCUCUACGCGUAGUAAUACUCCUCGCGAUUGAGUCCGGUAGGUCUACUUGCCAGCAACCCCUAAUUUUUUUAAGGUUGACCUCGGAUCAGGUAGGGAUACCCGCUGAACUUAAGCAUAUCAAUAAGCGGAGGA